GACGAACGCUGGCGGCGUGCUUAACACAUGCAAGUCGAACGAGUGGCGAACGGAUGAGUAACACGUGGGUGACCUGCCCUGCACUUCGGGCUAAGCCUGGGAAACUGGGUCUAAUACCGGAUAGUGUGGGAUGGGCCCGCGGCCUAUCAGCUUGUUGGUGGGGUAAUGGCUAGCAAGGCGCGACGGGUAGCCGGCCUGAGAGGGUGGACGGCCAAAUUGGGACUGAGACACGGCCCAGCCUCCUACGGGAGGAAGCAGUGGGGAAUAUUGCACAAGGGGCGGAAGCCUGAUGCAGAGACGCGGCGGGUUUGAAGAAGGUCUUCGGAUUGUAAAGCACUUUAAGUUGGGAGGCGUUACCAACAGAAUAAGCACCGGCUAACUUCGUGCCAGCAGCCGCGGUAAUAC
rnacentral:rRNA from 1 species